AGCAGGUAACCUUGGCUCGUCAGGAUAUCAACUCACUUGAGAUUUGAAUUGAGAGCAUUGCAAAAUUCGAUUACUGGACUGGUGACUUUAAUCGGACAGGAGCAGCUUCAACUUCCCUGUAAAUCAGAAAGCUCGUAACUUGCUUGCAGAUGUUGAAACCAAGGUGGUUGAAAAACUUUGCUGACUGCCUGCUUGAAGGCAAUCUCACAGAGGGAGCGAGCAACCACGGUGAAAAUAAUCGGUAUAGCUAAGGCCCAUGACAAGUCGAGGCCAUUGUUAUCAAGGGUUGCUUUUAGCUAGCUGUUGUUGAUUUGGGAGUUUCCUGAUGGCAGUUGCCUUGCGGAUGGAUGUAUCAUGUAUAUAUAUAAACUGGUCUCUCUUAUAAUUUAUUAGCUGGCUUGGUUUGUUUGUUCUUCCCCACGUGGGUCUUGUGAUGUUUUGUUUUUACUUAGGAGGGUCUUCCGUGAGGAGUUUAUUUAUUGACAUGGACAUUUGCUUUGUUCGGAUUUAGACUAUGAACCAAUUAAAACACAAAGUUGAUGCGUGGGGAGAA